CGUAGGUAACCUGCCUCUUAGCGGGGGAUAACUAUUGAAACGAUAGCUAAUACCGCAUAAAAGUCGAUAUCGCAUAAUAUUGAUUUGAAAGGUGCAAUUGCAUCACUAAGAGAUGGACCUGCGUUGUAUUAGCUAGUUGGUGAGGUAACGGCUCACCAAGGCGACGAUACAUAGCCGACCUGAGAGGGUGAUCGGCCACACUGGGACUGAGACACGGCCCAG
rnacentral:rRNA from 1 species